ACGACUGUUUAAUUCAACGCAUUCUCAGCGCAUCUGUCAAAGAGACCACUGUUUCUACACUGCUGUCAUCUUCUCCUGGUACCCAUGCAGAUCCUCAGUCAGAUGCAGGAAGUACAUAUACACCACCUCUGCCUCUGCUGGCCUCACCUGAGACCCCCUGGUCCUGUGAAGACUGGUGGCAGGGUGUAUGUACUGGAGCACAAACACAGAGCCAAUUGACAACUUGCUUAAACACUGUGGGAAGAAGCACAUCCUCAGGAGCAUGCAGCAGUGCUCCACAAUUCCUCUACUGAUCCAAACAGCAUGCUCCAUUCGACCACAAAACUGCACAUUUCACAGUAUGUCAAGCACCUGGCCAAACUGCAGAACACCAGUUCUUCAUUAAACAACUCCAGAGAAACGUCUUGAAAGCGGGCAGUAAAACAACCAGUGUGCCAGUGGUUAUAAUGAA